AAAAUUUAAUUGUGCAAUUCAGUUUAAUUUGAUAAUUAUUAAUUUACUUUUUUUCUAUUUUUUAUU
rnacentral:tRNA from 1 species